GAAGGUAUAGCUCAGUGGUAGAGUGCAUGUCUGGCAUAAGCAAGAUGCUGGGUUCAAUCUCCAGUACCUCCA
rnacentral:tRNA from 1 species